AGUGAACGCUGGCGGUAGGCCUAACACAUGCAAGUCGAACGGCAGCACAGAGGAGCUUGCUCCUUGGGUGGCGAGCGGCGGACGGGUGAGGAAUACAUCGGAAUCUACUCUGUCGUGGGGGAUAACGUAGGGAAACUUACGCUAAUACCGCAUACGACCUACGGGUGACAGCAGGGGACCUUCGGGCCUUGCGCGAUUGAAUGAUCAGAGGUCGGAUUAGCCAGUUGGCGGGGGAGAGGCCCACCAAGGCGACGAGCCGUAGGCUGGUCUGAGAGGAUGAUCAGCCACACUGGAACUGAGCCACGGUCCAGACUCCUACGGGAGGCAGCAGUGGGGAAUAUUGGACAAUGGGCGCAAGCCUGAUCCAGCCAUACCGCGUGGGUGAAGAAGGCCUUCGGGUUGUAAAGCCCUUUUGUUGGGAAAGAAAUCCAGCUGGCUAAUACCCGGUUGGGAUGACGGUACCCAAAGAAUAAGCACCGGCUAACUUCGUGCCAGCCGCCGCGGUAA
rnacentral:rRNA from 1 species